rnacentral:rRNA from 1 species
UACGUAGGGGGCAAGCGUUGUCCGGAUUUAUUGGGCGUAAAGAGCGUGUAGGCGGCUUUGCAAGUCCGUUGUGAAAACUCGAGGCUCAACCUCGAGACGCCGGUGGAAACUGCAAAGCUAGAGUCCGGAAGAGGAGAGUGGAAUUCCUGGUGUAGCGGUGAAAUGCGUAGAUAUCGAGAGGAACACCUGCGGCGAAGGCGGGUAGCUGGGCCGACACUGACGCUGAGGCGCGAAAGCCAGGGGAGCGAACGGG